ensembl:ncRNA lncRNA:CR46035 long non-coding RNA:CR46035
CUCGGUUCGGUUGGGUUUGGUUCGCUUCGUUUUGUUUCGUACCGUUUCGUUUGCUCGUUGGCUGCUUUUGCCAGCGGAGCAGCAGUCAGUCGGUGGCCCCAAUCCUUGCCCCGCACCUUCCGCCCUCAUCCACUUACAAUAUGGCAAACUAACAGACUGUCAGACUGACUGGCAAUCCGACGCAGCAACAGAGCAACAGACCAACAGCCACUGGCAGCAGUAAAAGCGAAAAAACGAACAACGAACGAACAACAACAGCCAACGUUGGCAGUCAACCACUUUGAGUGCUCAGACAAAUGUCCCAUUAAUCGCACACUGGGCUCCAACCGAAAACACACGGCCCAGAGUCGCAGCCAGAGCUGCCAGAACCGGCAAGAGCCAGAGCCACAGCCACAGCCAGGGCAAUAGCUAAAGCAAAAGCCAAAGCCAUAGCCAGAGCCAGAGCCAGGCCAGACCAGACCAAAGCGAUCCAAUCCGACCGACCCUACUCGACUCAACUCGACUCGUUUCGAGCAACGUUUCGAUUCGUUCGUGGUGUGUAUCCAAACGAGUGAACUGAAAAACAAGCGCACAAUCACACGACUCUCUGUAUGUAUAAAAUUUGUAUGCGUUCGAAACGAGGCAGUACACUGAAACAUAAGCUGGGCGGCCUUUUGAUAGGAUAUUAUAAAGAACCAUUACCUUGCCAUUUUCAUUAAAUUAUUGUUUCUGAUCAAGUCACUCAUCAAAAGACUGAACUUUGGCCUAAGAUUCCAAACCCAGAGUAAUCAUAUAUUUCUUUCAAAGAAUUCUUCUCUGUGCAUCAGCGCCAACUGAAAUGAACGUUCUUUUUAUUUCGACUUUAUUUUUGCCUUUUUUACUGGCUGCGCCGCCUGUUAAAAUGAAAAACGAUGAUGAUGCCGCCGCCGCCGCCGCUGCUGCUGCCAACAAUAACAACAACGACAACGCAGCAGAGUCGCAGGCACAGCAAUGAGUGGAGCACUAAAAUCCCAGCAACAACGGACGAAGAAAAACCGGCAAAAUUGUUCAUUGGCAGUUGGAAGGCACCAUAAUGAAGGGGCACAGGGCACGGGGAAGAUGGGGGGACCCGGUUGCGGAAAGGCCGUGCCAUGUGGCUCUGGGGCUUUUGGGCUCGCAAUCGCAAUAGCAAUAGCAAUGGCAUUCGCAUGCCGGUGGUUUGAGUUUGGGCCCAAAGCCCCAACCGUGUGCACUGCACCACAGACAAUUUCGGCUGGCAUUAAAUGAAUGCAGCAGUUGUGUGCUGCUGGCGGCUGGCUGGCCCGCAAAUUUCAGAUGCUGAUAGGCAUACAGAUAGAUAGUCAUGCCAAUUGCCCACAGAGCAGAGAGAAUAUGACGCAGAACAGUCGACUUGAAAUAAGUUUCUAAACUAGGACACGUCGAUGGGGCUGGCUGUGUGCUCUUGAAAAUCAAUGGGACUGCCACCAGCCACUGGGUGGCUUAAAUAACACGCUAUAUAGAAAAGGUGUCCCAACUGCCGCAGAAAGAGGAAAGCGGCGGCUAAAAGCCAUCAGUAGUUAAAUAUUAUUGCUGGCAGUUGGCUUUUGUUCAGCAACACACGGCGAAUUUAAAGCGGCUUACAAAAUGCAAUUCGAAAUCGACCAGCUUAAAUAACAAUGGACGGGCGGCAGGGACUUCCCCCGACUUUGGAAGUUUGGAGUGGCUUAAAACCAGCAUUGGCUGCGGCUGAUUACAGUUUUCGUUCGGUUUCGGCUCGUUUUCAGUUGGUUUCAGUGUUGAAUUGGCCAGAAACGCGGAUUUAACCUUGCAACACCCAAUUAAAACGCAAAGGAAAACCGAUUGGUUUGAUUUUGUAAAGUGUUUUGAGUGCACUGGGUUGAGACAACAAAUAUACUAUAUUAUAUUGAC